UACGAAGGGGGCUAGCGUUGCUCGGAAUCACUGGGCGUAAAGCGCACGUAGGCGGAUCUUUAAGUCAGGGGUGAAAUCCUGGAGCCUCAACUCCAGAACUGCCUUUGAUACUGAGGAUCUCGAGUCCGGGAGAGGUGAGUGGAACUGCGAGUGUAGAGGUGAAAUUCGUAGAUAUUCGCAAGAACACCAGUGGCGAAGGCGGCUCACUGGCCCGGUACUGACGCUGAGGUGCGAAA
rnacentral:rRNA from 1 species